GCUGGGUGUGGUGGUGCAUGCCUGUGGUCCCAGCUACUCGGGAGGCUGAGGUGGGAGGAUCGCUUGAGCCCAGGAGGCAGAGGCUGCAGUGAGCCAUGAUCGUGCCACUGCACUGCAGCCUGGGCAACAAAGCAAGACCCUGUCUCAA
rnacentral:SRP_RNA from 1 species